GCCUCUUCAUAUUUAGCUCAGUGGGUAGAGCAUGAGAUCCCAGGGUCUUGGGUUCGAAUCCCAUGUUGGGCA